rnacentral:rRNA from 1 species
UACGGAGGGUGCGAGCGUUAAUCGGAAUUACUGGGCGUAAAGGGCGCGUAGGCGGUGGGUUACGUCUGACGUGAAAUUCCCGGGCUCAACCUGGGAAUGGCGGUGGAAACGGGCUGACUGGAGUAUGGGAGAGGGUGAUGGAAUUCCAUGUGUAGCGGUGAAAUGCGUAGAGAUCUGGAGGAACACCAGUGGCGAAGGCGGUCACCUGGCCCAAUACUGACGCUGAGGAGCGAAAGCGUGGGGAGCAAACAGG